UACGUAGGGGGCGAGCGUUGUCCGGAAUCAUUGGGCGUAAAGAGCGUGUAGGUGGACUGGAAGGUCUGGUGUGAAAGCCCCGGGGGCUCAACCCCCGGAGGGUCACCGGAAACCGACAGUCUUGAGUCCGGAAGAGGAGAGUGGAAUCCUGGUGUAGCGGUGGAAUGCGCAGAUAUCAGGAGGAACACCGAUGGCGAAGGCAGCUCUCUGGUAACGUGAC
rnacentral:rRNA from 1 species